CCCAGCAACGAAAGAGUUUGGGGUUCCAAAAGCCGCGAUGGUGGCGGCCUCCCAAUUUAUUUGAAGCCUUGUGGUCACCAUGAAAAACUAUUUUUAGUUCUCAGCGGUGGCCAUCAAAUUGCUGUGGCGCCACUGAAUUUACCACUAAAAUUCGGGGUUUGUACUAUAGUACGUGAAGUGCAAACGUGUUUGUACAUGUCUUAUGGGAAUUUUACAUUAGGUGACACAAAAGGUUUGCAAACUGUGUUCGGGGUUCGUCCGUAGUUGAACAGUUAUGGCUGAUUUUUUCAAUCACGCUGUUGUUUCUCUUUUGCAAUCGUUUUUUCCGGGUAAUUUUGUGCAAUUCAGUGCUUUUUUUGGCUCAAUUCUGAUUCAGAUUUAAUCAGCCAGUCUGAGUAUGGAACAAUCUGAAAUGGCAGAGGUGAUCUGUGAUUCCAUUAGAUGUCUGGAGACGAAAAUUGAUGGCUUGCAACGAGAAAUGAGGGAGUUAAUUCAAAGCAACAAAGAUCUAAAGAUCGAAUGUAAUGAGUUGAAGGUGAAAGUGGAUGGUUUGAUGGCCAAACAGGGUAAAGUUAACGUGCAGCUCAACUUACUGAAUAAGUAUAUUGAAGGCGUGAAAUCUUACUUUCCCAUCGAAAACGUGGAAAAGUUGAUGGAGUUGGAGCAGAAAAUGGCUGAUAAUGAAGGAAUCAAAGCUGCUGUUGAAACACAACUUCGACGCCUUUUAAAGCCUGGCGAUAAAGAUUUCUUACCGAAAGUUGCAAAAAUUGACGUGUUUGAAGAUUUUAAUGUUACGGGAAGGGGAAAGAGAAAAAAUAUCCUGGACCUGAAUAUUUUUAAAUACAGCGCAGGUAUUUUGUUAAAAUUUUUUGAAUAUAUUUUUUUAAAAUAUAUUUUUUUAAAUUUAUUUUUUAAAUCCAUUUUAGAGACAAU